UGCUGAAGUUGGUGUGUGGAUGCUUUUCUAGCAAAAAACAACAGGCUAUACAACAUAACCUGGGCUUAUUCUUCUCUUGGGUGUCUUGUUACCCCAGUAUUGCCUAUGGACUUGUUUUAAAUGGAUUGGUGUGGAUAGAAUGCGGAGUCCUGAACUAUGGUGGAGAAUCCAGCAUGCUGGAGCCUGUGCACUGUGGAGUAAGUGUUUUUAUUGACAAUGAAGCCACAAGGGACUCCUCACAGAAGAGCCAAACAAAUGUCAGAGAUGACAAAUGAUGUACAUAGAAGGAAAGUCUCAGUUUUCAAUUUCUCCAGCAGGUUGAAGUGUUUGGCA